AUCAUGGAGAGUUUGAUCCUGGCUCAGGACGAACGCUGGCGGCGUGCUUAAUACAUGCAAGUCGAACGAGGACCGGGUGCUUGCAUCCGGAGCCGAGUGGCGAACGGGUGAGUAACACGUGACCAAUCUACCCUUGGGAGAGG
rnacentral:rRNA from 1 species